UGUGACCGUGAAUCGAGAAAGAACAGAAUUAACCACCACUCAGACCCAUCACCAGUAUUCCUGACAGUUGUCCAGCGGCCAGUGUCACUCCAAGCAGCAACCCAUCAUGGACAGAGCUAGCAGGCUGGUUUUGCUGUUGUUUCUUAUGACUGCCGUAGCACAAGUCUACAGCUUAUACAACGUGAGAGAGAAGAGGGCAGCUGGACUGCACUCCUGGGACGGCCUUCUCAGAAACACAAAUCAAUUACACCGACGACAAGACUACGGCAAAAAUCCUAUGAACUGGGAACAAAUUUGGAAGCUAAAAGCCCUGCUUGACCAAGUUGGGCGAAGAAAAUGAGUGUAAAAUAUCUGGUGCCACCACAAGAGGGCUAGCAUUACUAGCAGUUAUACGGGGCUAUCGAGAACUAUGCCGAUUCCCACCGAUCAACAACUUACGGCAACAGGACAUUUACUCAGGAGGGUAAAAAAAAUAACUGCACGACAAGUAAAGGCCCAAGAAAAUAACAGAGAAAUUCUUUAUUAAAGAUCUGCCUAACCAAUAACUUAAGAAAAUCCUAAAGUAUAAAGCAAAAAUAGGUGUAUUUUAUGUUUAAUUAAUCAAAGUAGUUUGUAGGAAAAAUGUGUUCCACAAAGGAAUGUUAGUGCAGAAUUGAUCUCAACUAUAUGUAUGUAUGGGUUUGAAUUAAGAUAGUCAUUGCACAAACAAAUGCAGUCUUGACAAAAUGAACCAUAAAUACAGACAUUUCUGAAAUCAUACAAUCACUAUAUGCAUGUUUGUGUAUCAAGCUAGAAAGACACUUGUCAACGUUGUAUGCUCAGUGGCAUCUCAAGAAGCUAAAAGUCUAUUUAACUGCAUAUUCAAUAAACAUUGAAAUCAGAGAAACUAGAACAUACACUUUAACUUUUAUUUAAAUAUUGUGGAGUCUUGUUGAAAAAUACUUUUUAUUGGCAAGGGGAACCAUUUUAUUGUAUAUUUGUACAAGGUGUCAACAAGUUUAUUAAACAUGUAAUAUUAUCAAAAGUUUGACCAUCAUUAUGUAAAUGAAAGUGCAUUCUGUUUGACGUUGUAGAAAACAUCUGUUUGAAGAUUCAUACACCAUUACAUGAAAAUUGUUCUUUAGCACUAUGAUCACCUUUGAUAAAAUCCCAAAAUGUCCACUGAUUGUAGUUAAGUUGAUUUUGGAUCUAAAAUCAUUCAUACGAAUCCCUCUUAUGUGAUUCUGAACAUUAACAAAGACAAAAAUUUUACUGUCCAAUCUCCUCUUCUGAAAAAAAAUUUUGGUUCAUGUCACUGCUGGCUUAUCAUUGUACUUCAGACUUCAAAUGGAAUAGAUGUAAAACAAUAAAAGGUACAAAUAAACAAUUCCAUGUACUGUUUUCAAUAGUUAAUUAAGAUUUAAG